CGACUCUUAGCGGUGGAU
rnacentral:ncRNA from 3 species